GACGAACGCUGGCGGCGUGCCUAACACAUGCAAGUCGAACGGAAAGGCCCUGCUUUUGUGGGGUGCUCGAGUGGCGAACGGGUGAGUAACACGUGAGUAACCUGCCCUUGACUUUGGGAUAACUUCAGGAAACUGGGGCUAAUACCGGAUAGAAGCUCCUGCUGCAUGGUGGGGGUUGGAAAGUUUCGGCGGUUGGGGAUGGACUCGCGGCUUAUCAGCUUGUUGGUGGGGUAGUGGCUUACCAAGGCUUUGACGGGUAGCCGGCCUGAGAGGGUGACCGGCCACAUUGGGACUGAGAUACGGCCCAGACUCCUACGGGAGGCAGCAGUGGGGAAUAUUGCACAAUGGGCGGAAGCCUGAUGCAGCAACGCCGCGUGCGGGAUGGCGGCCUUCGGGUUGUAAACCGCUUUCGCCUGUGACGAAGCGUGAGUGACGGUAAUGGGUAAAGAAGCACCGGCUAACUACGUG
rnacentral:rRNA from 1 species